UAAUUAAGCUAUGGCGGAUAAGGAUGAGCGUGCGCAAGAUUAGCUAGUUGGUGAGGUAACGGCUCACCAAGGCGACGAUCUUUAGCUGAUGUGAGAGCAUGAUCAGCCACACGGGCACUGAGACACGGGCCCGACUCCUACGGGAGGCAGCAGUGAGGAAUAUUGGUCAAUGGACGGAAGUCUGAACCAGCCAUGCCGCGUGAAGGAUGAAGGCGUUCUGCGUUGUAAACUUCUUUUAUUUAGGAAGAAACCACCGAUUUCUAUUGGUGUUGACGGUAUUAAAUGAAUAAGCACCGGCUAACUCCGUG
rnacentral:rRNA from 1 species